ACGCUCCUUUUGUCUUUUCUGCCUCUCCCACAGCAUCCUCCAAACGACUGCCUUGUGCAUUGCUCCCUUUGUUCGCUGUCUCUCGCUUCUUGCUGUGCUGUGCCAAGCUUUCGUGCUGCUCUCUUUUCACUAGACUCCACUUUUCUCUGACCUCAUCUCUUUGAUUCCUCAAUGCCAGGAACCGCUGUGCCAUGGGAGACCUCAGCAGACGAGGCUCAGGCCACCGACGGUCCCCUCUCCCUCCACCCCUGGCAGGAUAAGGCUUACCUGACUUCACGUUCUCUCUACACACGGUCUAAAGAACUCCUGAAUGUCAGGAUACAGGAACGUCUUCUGAGGCUGACCUGCCAUCCCCGCCUUUUGAUGCCUUCAGUCUCGUGGCCUUCGAGUCUCCUCUGUUGUACAGUUCACUUAACCUAAUGAGGAUUAGAUGACCUUUGCAUUUGGAAAUAAGGCAUGCAUAUAAAAGAAAAGCCCUUGAUUCUCAUGGUUCAUGGUAUGUAGAGUCCGAUUCAUCGGCUCUCGGAGCAGAAGGCCUCCGGAGCAGUGAGAUCUCACAUACAGACCAUUGUGGUUCUCAACGAGAAUUCCUGUGGGCGUUUCUAUAGAUAUGGAAGGAUGUAUUUCUCCAGCACAAAUCAUGUGAAAAUUUUACACCAGCCUACUCGCUUAGGUUGCUGCUGGUCAAAAUUAGACUUGCAGACAGCUUUUACAAACUGAAACAAAUUCCCCUUUGAUUUUCUUUGGACCAUAGGGUUAAGUGCCCCACGUGCCUGCACAGAGACAGGGCUGCUGCGUUCUGCCACCAGCUCUGAACUGUCUGCCCAGGCCUCAGCAGAUGGCUUCAGCCUUGUCAAGAGUCCUUUCCAUGGUUUUAAGCCCAUACUUUAAGCCUUUAACUCCCUGCUGUGCCUCAGAUGUUGCAGAUAACUGCCAGGGAGCUUUUAAGCCAGUGAGUUCUCAAGUUCUCGCUUGCCUGUGUCUCUCAGGGUUGUUCCGGUAUGUGCAGCACCUCUGUUUGCACUGAAAAUGUUAUCAGCUGGAGCAGUUACCUGCUCUGCAGAUACUUGUGAACCUCGUCUUCUAUAUCAUCGACGGCCUUGAGCCAUAGAUUGUAUUUUACUUGAAAACGAUUGCUCUUUCAUUUUUAAGUAACAGGUAGUAAUGCUUUCCAUCUCUGCCUCCUAGGCUGGUAGUGCCAUCCUCACAAACUCGUUUCAGUAUCGCCAGACCAAAUUAAUCAAGAAACUGUGAUUCCUGUCUCUAAGAAUAUUUUAGAAAUUGUAAGGUAAUAGUAAAUAAUAAUCAACUUCACACCGUAGCAAUCUAUCUUCUGAGGAUAAACUUAAUUAGAUUGCAGAAUGUUCUUGCUUUUCUCUACAUGUCCCCUAAGAACUUAAUUUUUAGGUGAAAAUUUAGAUCCUUAGGAAAUCACAGGUUCCCUGGGACUGGUACGUCAUAGGAAACAAAACCUGAGUGUCGUGGUUUACGUCCAAAGGCCUGGGACUCACCGCUGUCCUCCCGCAGACCUGACAGCCUGGUGGCAACAACUGCAGGCAACCAGCUGGGAUUGACCUGUACGACUGACAAAGGACAGAAACACUCGACUGAAGGAAGCCUUAUCCGCCUAAAAGCAUGCCUGGUUUUUCCAAGUACCCCAGCUGACCUACUAAACAGUGUCCCCUCUCCCUGCCCUUGCCUCACUUACAUCUCGUGCUCUCCUUGUUGACACACAUCUCCUGAGGUUCUGCUCAGCUGAGUCUACAAAUGAAGGCACAGCCUUGAGGAGCAUCCCGAAGCCCUGCCCAGCCUGGGUUCCAUGGCCUCUGCUGCUGAAACAGUCCUGCUCGCUCGGCUCUACCUCCAUGCCCACCAAGACUCGGGAAAGGAGGAGGGAUGGAGAGGAAGAUGGCCCUGUUCAUCUACAACAGAGUUUGGCCUGAGAUCUCCAAUGAGUCUGGCUUUUGGCCGCCUGCACAAAUGGACUCCACAUACUUAAUUGUCUGCCUGAUGAGAUUAGAAGAUGAGUGAUAUGUGGGCAGAGCUGGAGAUCACCUGUGAGACGGGCUUUGAGAUGACUCUCCAAAAGGCACAGUGGUUAGAGCUAGGAUUUUGACUUUGCUUGGUUUCCAGAGAGACCCGAGGCCAUCCAGCCCAACCCUGCGGCCCGGGACAGGGCUACAGGAUGGCAACCGGCCCCUUCCUUCUUCUGACAUUUGCAUUUCCUCAAACAAAAGGCUCAUUCUUGGCCGGGCUCUCGCCUUGUCUGGUUCCUGGUUGCUUUUGGAAGGAGCUGCCUAUGCUCGAGUGCCCGGCUUGGAGUCGCUGCUGGGGCACUGUCAUCUUGGAUGUUCUGGGGUUUGUCACGUAUAAAAGGAUAUCUGUAGUGUUUACAAGAAGCUAAUUUCGAGCCAGGAUGGGAUUGUUUUCUGUAAGGAUGUUUAGGAUCACUUAACUCCUACAGGCAGAGGGGAAAAUGUUGUAGGUGUCGAGCUGGAAGAGGGGAGAUUGAGAUGAGGUCUCAGGAAGAAAUGUUCUCGUGUGCAGGUGGGGAGGCCCUGGCCCAGGUUGCCCAGAGCAGUGGUGGUGCCCCAUCCCUGGAGGGGUUCCAGGCCAGGUUGGAUGGGGCUCGGAGCCCCUGAUCCAGUGGGAGGUGUCCCUGCCCGUGGCUGGGAUGGGACUGGAUGGGCUGUGAGGUCCCUUCUGACCCAAACUAUUCCAUGAUCCUAUGAAAAUUGGUCACUAUUGUUUGUAACUCUUGGAAUUCUCCUUAGAAGCAGACCCCAAAAGACCACCAAACGCUGACGGAUUUACCCUGAGGGUCCCUCUGCAGUGCUGGGCUCUUUGCUGCUGUAAAGCUGUUUGCCUUUACAGAGGUCAGGUUCUGGGAGGCCACUUGCAGAGCAAAUGCCUUCGCUGUGCACCUUGUCCUCACGAACUGGAAGAACCUGAAGGACCUGUGAAACGGGGACCCUGCCACCAGCUCCUGCCAGGAUUCACUUGGGGAUUUUUCUUUCCUCUGUCCUCCCAGAAAGGAAGUUGCAUUUGCUGGGAGGUGCCUUGCGACGUGGCAAUUGGCCCACGAGGCUGGGUUAAGGCUCAGCCGAGGGUGAGAUGUACUAAAAAUAUAUGUGACAAAUGUAAACACUGACUUUUGCUGGUGUGGGAGCGCAUCUGGUGAGAAGCACCAGUGUGGUGAGAGGGGUGGUCAGCAGCGCUGCGUGCUGCCUGCGGCCGAGCAGCUGCGGGAACGUUUUCUUCUUCUGGGUUGGUUUGUUUCUUAAAUUAAUUAUUUAAAAGUGAAACAGCUUCACACGUUGCCAUUGCAGCUUUUCUGUCAUCGCGUUGUGGUCACCCUGUUUCAACAGGCUGUGGCAAUGCCCGUUUCACAGGGCUGUGUGGCUGCUGCAGGAUGCAGUUACCACAAGAGUGAGGUUUGGAGCAGCUGCGCUUACCUGGCUGGACAAAAUCAUAGAAAUAUGGAAUGGGUUGGGUUGGAAGGGACCUCACAGCCCAUCCAGUCCCACCCCUGCCAUGGGCAGGGACACCUCCCACUGGAUCAGGGGCUCCGAGCCCCAUCCAACCUGGCCUGGAACCCCUCCAGGGAUGGGGCAGCCACCACUGCUCUGGGCACCCUGGGCCAGGGCCUCCCCACCCGCACAGCAAAACAUUUCUUCCUGAUGUCUCAUCUCAAUCUCCCCUCUUUCAGCUUAAAAGAAGGGAAGCUCCAAAUGACACAGGAGUGCAGCACGGCUGGAUGGAGGACCUGCCCCCACUCACAGCACUGCCAGGUAGGUGGAGAUGCAUCUUCAUUCCAGCUAUGGAAGCAGGGAAAAGAAAAUGAGUUCUUUAGAUGGGAAAUGUGGAAUCUGAGGAAGCCCCAGGAUGUCCUACCAAGAAAUAUCUUUCUGAGCCAUUCAGGGUGUCAGGCGUCCCUGUUUCUAUUUAUGUGUCCAUCUCCCACUGCUUUCUCCUGGUGGAACCUGAGGCUCUAGAAAGAUCCCUUCUUGCCAGAAAGAUGUUUCUUGAAGCAGCACUUCUGUCGCCACACCCGGGAACGCUUGCAGGAUGCCAUCACAAAGGUUGGUCAAGAACAUUUGCCCUGGAACUUGAUUUAAGGAGCUGUGCUCGGCCAGAAAAAUCCCGGAGCUGUUCCUGCGGUUUGCUCCCUUAAGCAGGCUGGGGAGAAAAGUGGGGGGCAGGAACUUAAAUUUUAUGAUGUUGUAAACUUAAGAGGCUCAAACCUGUGACAAAAGCCACAAUGGUCAAGGCAAUUGCUAAAAAAAGGAGAAAGGGAAAAGCCCUCCAAACUUGUCCUUUCCCCAGAUCACUGGCUAGAAAACUUGUGAGCUGCAGUAAUUCGGCAAGAGAUAUUUUCAGGAGCGUUUUUUACUGUGAAAGUAGUCAUAAAUAAUAAUAAAAAAUGCAUGUGUUGUGUAUUUUACAAAGCAAGGAAGAAAUUUCUUCCUCUUCCAGCCGGUAGUCUGCGAAUAAUUUGUGAACAAGAGAAGUGGCUCCAUCCAUCUUACGCUGUAUUUGUUACAAAUCAUUUGCUCCCGUGUAAAUCUUCCUGCCAGGGUAGGAGCAGCAAAUCCUCCUUCAAUUUUUGUCUGCUGAAAAACUUCUCCAGCUAAACAUGAAGAAUUGAAUCAAUAAAUUACAGGUGUAGAGCUGCAUCUCAGGAUGAAUAUAUCCCUGGUGCCCGUGACGGAGGGAUGGGUGAUGGUGUUCCUGAGGUAGCUGGGGGCUGCAGGGCAGCGUUUCUGCCUGGCUCCCAUCGCCGAGCCACAGGGUCUAACAGUUUUGCAGGAAAACAAAAGCCAAGCCCAAAAGAGCACCUCCUGUCACACCUGCAGCGAGCGGGCAAGCAGCUGCUACCCCUGGGAAACACAGCAGAGCACCCCAUCCUGGAGAAAACUCUUUUUCCCAGCUCUCUGGAGGUCCCUAGGUGGCAACCCUGCUCCUCCUGAUCCUCCUGUGGUGGAGAGAUCUCAAAAGCUCCUGCUCUGAGGAUUGUGUGAGUGAGCGGGACCUUAACUUGCAAAUAAAAGAGAGAAAAAGAGUGCCUGUUUAAUGCUGUGGUGGCAAAGGAAAGCUUAGACCGGUGAGUGCUGAAAGGCUCUGCCAUCCAAAGGCGAAUUGAAAGAAUGACUGAAACACUCAAGAAUUUAUUUAUUUAAAAGAAAUAGCAAAGUUUGAAAGCCAAGUCUGUGACACCGGGAGAUGUGACUCAUGAUCUCGACACGCUUCGCGAUGCCAGCGUGCUUAGAGAGUUCUGUAACCCAACAAGAAGCAGUUGCAGAGCAGGGGUUCAGCCUUUCUCACCAGCACCGAGGAUGCUCUGCUGGGGGACCCUGUGCUCCAUCCCCUCACCCCUGGACUAUCAGCUCUCCAAAGGGAUGAGCUGACAUCCCUCUUCAUAGUGCGGCUCCAUCCAGGCAACCCCAGAACACAAACCUAUAGAUAGCCCCGAGCACAGACCUGGGCUGGCUCAAAGAGAAGAAUGCCCACACCACCCGCUUGGACGUUUUCAGGGGAAAGGCACCUUCAGAGACCUCAGAGACCCAAAAGAUACGGAGAUUUUGGUGUAAGUACUGCUUAUCAUCAUCACAGAACGGUUUGGGUUGGAAGGGACCUCACAGCCCAUCCAGUCCCACUCCUGCCACGGGCAGGGACACCACCACCGCUCUGGGCAACCUGUUCCAGGGCCUCCCCACCCGAACAGCAAAACAUUUCUUCCUGAUAUCACCUCAAUCUCCCCUCUUUCAGCUGAAAACCAUUCCCUUUGUCCUCUCCCUGAUCCAGAGCCCCUCCCCAGCUUUCCUGGAGCCCCUUUCAGCGCUGGAAGCUGCUCUAAAGUCUCCCCGCAACCUUCUCUUCUCCAGGCUGAACAACCCCAGCUCUCAGCCUGUCCUCACACAGGAGGUUCUCCAGCCCUUGGGUCAUCUCCGUGGCCUCCUCUGGCCUCGCUCCGAUAGCUCCAUGUCCUUCCUGUGCUGAGGACUCCACAACUGGACGCAGGGCUCCAGUCUGUUUACUCCCUGCUGUCUCGGGGUGACCUGCUGUGCCCAAGCACAGCCCGGCCGCACGGGCUCGGGAACGGCUGCUCCUUCACCCAAACCCCGAACCAACCAAUAAAAAUAGCAAUUCCGUUAUGUCAGAGGAGGUUCUCCAGCCCUCGGAUCAUCUCUAUGGCCUCCUCAGGCCUCACUCCAACAGAUUGAUGUCCUUCCUGUGCUGAAGACUCCAGAACUGGACACAGGACUCCAGCAUCCUCCCCGAGCACUGUGGAUGCAGCAAUGGUACAUGGACGCCUUCUAAAGAGACUUGGGACUCCAGAGUUGGAAAGUUUUGUGACUGCAACUGUUGUCCCUCCUGGAGCUGGUUACAUUCUGGGGGCAGGUGGAGCUGCACAUCGCUAGGGUUCAGAAGCAAAGUCAGAAACCAGCAUGGGUAACGUUCAGCUGAGGUUAAGGAGCACGGCGUUAGCGAAGACUGUGGUGGGGUCCUUGGCUGCUCCAUGCGAGGCCCCGGGGCUCUGUGCUGCCACAGGCAAGGCAAAACGAGGGGCUGAUCCUGCUCAUGCUGAACACGUGCCAGAAUCCAGAGGCGAGUGGCAGAAGUCAGAGUUGCUCAGCACCUUCCAGGAUUAGAGCCUUUGGGCUGAGUUCGGGGCUAGCUCGGAUGGAUCCUGCACGGUGCUAAGAGCCUCCUGGGAGGACCAGGCCAAGGAUCCCCUUGCCCAGAGGCUCGUUUCAGCUGCAGCGGAACAGAGUGGGGCUCAGAAGAAUUAGGCGCUGGUUUGCAUCAGAUGGACAGAACAACCUUCCGCUUCACUACGUCCUCUCCAUCCAGAGGGAUAUUCUCCAGGGACAGGUCAGGGAAAGGGCAUUGGAAUGGCUGGAUUUGAUGUACUGUCACCCCAAACGCUGGGACGGCACUUGGCACAGCAGACAGAGGCAGGGACAUCCCGUAGGAGCCUGGGAGAAAGGGCAAAGCAAUUAUCAUUAACGAUAAUGAUGGUUUUAUUGGAUCACUGUGCUUACAUUAUAAAUGAGGUACACAAAACUUAUGUUAACUGAGAAAUCGCACUUUCAGUAAAGCUUCUGCACAGGAAGCCUCUUAGGGAAUCAACACCUGGCCUAAUCCAAUGGAAACCAGACAGACACCGUGCCCCUCCAGCUCCCAUCCUCCGGGAACAGGGAGUGCUCUGCUCCGUGAAGGAUCAGUGCCUUGGCCACCUGAACGCAGCCAGGGGAGAGAGAGGAAAACAGUGCCAUAAAUCUUGCCAUGAUUGCGGACAGGCAGCUCCUGAGGUCAGAGAAGGCAGUGAGGACUCCAAAUAACCCUCAACAGCCACCCCGUCCCUGCCAGGACACCCCAGGCACGCUGUUACCCAACCUGAGGGACGUGUCCAGAGGGGACACCACUAUGCAGGCUGCUCCGGGCUGGUUCAGGGACAGCCGGGACCAUGGUUGUCCGGGCAUGGACAGCCAAGCUCUGCCUAAUGCACUCAGUGUCUCACGGGUUUUGCCGAGGGCUGUUUUCUCACCUGGUUUGAAUUAGUUGAGCUCCACUGACCUCACAGGAGAUGACCGGGUAUUCCAGAUUGUUCUGGAAUGUUCAGCUGACGCCAGCUGUGAAUCAGGGUCUUUGUCAAGGUCUCCGGGUGUAUUUUUUUCUGCUCUACCUUGUUUAUAAAGCAUCGUGCAUUUUCUCUUUCAUAAAAGAAAUAAAACAAUCCUUAUGCUCCAUUUUUAUAGAAAAGCUAUUAUGAUUGCGAGUUCAUGGCUUGUCUUGUCCUUGUCAGAUGUGCUAAAGAUCUUCCCAAAUGCAUUAAAGCCUUGGAAGGAGCCCUGCUAUGAUCCCCAGCUCCCCUUUCUGAUCAAGGUGUUGGUCUGAGUCUGUUGGAUGAGGAGCUGGGAUGAGCUUUCUCGGAUGUCCCUCUCAGAUGGACAAACCUGAUCCCUGAUGGCACAAAGCAGCAUCCUGGAUGUCCUCUGGGUGGUGGGGCUGUGUGGACUCUGACCAGGCUGUGCUCCACAGGUGUCUGUCCAACACUGCACCACCGUCCUGAAAAUGGAAAAGGAAAGCAUCCUCCUAGGAUGCCCAGGGUCCCGGUUAGGGCUGUUUAUUUAAAGUUGGCUUAACCAUUGUGUUUUCAUUAAUGACCGUUUCUUUGCCCUUUUUCUUACUCCUCCCAAGCUCCUAUGGGAUCUUCCUGCCCUGCUGUGCUGCACCAGGUGCUGAUCCAGAGUUUGGUAUGACCUCUUCUAACUGAGGAGAGAAACAGGAUUUUCUGAUGCACAGGGAAGUAGAGUUGUGUUGGUUUUGUUCUUAAACCACUGUCAGAGGAACGGCAGACUGUCGGUCAUAUUCAUUAGGCAAAAUGAACUGUCCUCAUCUGGAGUUCCUCGGCCCAUUGCUGGGUUUAUUGUGGAAGGGCUCUUGGCAGGAGCCGUCACCCUGUGAUGCUAAAUCUCCCAUCGCCCAUUGAUCUCCGCCUCAGCAAUGGGGCUCUUCCAGAUUCGGCCUCUCGUGCUGUCUGGGCCUGCCGCCACUCGCAGCCGGUUUUGCCAACACAAACACAACUCACCCCCUCUCCAGGCACGGCUGUGAUUCAUCGCUGCUGGGUGGUAGCUUGCUGGCUGCAGAACCGAGAACCCUAACGCGAGGGCUCACGGCUGGAGGCACUCAUCUGUGCUGGGGGUGUGAUGGGUGCCCGUGGCACCCACCACCAGGAGAGGCAAACCCAUGGCAGGGAGGUGGAACUGGGUGAGCUUUAAGGUCCCUUCCAACCCAAACCAUUCCAUGAUUCUAUGAUUCUAUAACUCCCUGCGCCACCUGGACCAGCAACCUGUCUCCUUCCUCCAAACAGGGCACUAAGACAUACCCUGACCACUCUCUCCUUCAGCCCCACCACCAUCAUUCACACUCCUUAAGUGGCUCCUUGUCCACACACAGAUGAAAAUGUGAUGCUUAAAAUAAAAGUACUUUUUAAAAAGCCCUGUCUUAUUCAGACAGUAACGACGUUUCAGGCUGUACAAGCUCACUGCACUUAAAGCCGAUGAUAGCCAGACACUGGAGAGGGAGCGUCACUGUCAGAUCCCUUUUGGAGCACAGCUGCCAACCACUUGCCUCAAGCAGUAAAUGCUGCUUCCAAAGCCACACAGAAAUCCAGAUGUGGGUUGGAAGGUAACGGUGUGCGUGCAUCCUAUUUUUGGGGCUGUUUGUAUGCGUAAUUAGCAGCAGAAGCAUAUUUCAGCUAAGGUUUUUGAGCUAAGGCUUUUGUCGGGGUCCCCCAUAAGCACCCAUAACUCACAAGUGCUGGCUUUGACUUCUGCAAGAACCCACCUGAGCAGAUCCCAGCGAGUCUGGACAGGCGCGGGGAGCCGGGGGCACGCCUAGAGCAGCGACUGCUCACCAAAACGAGCCGCUGUUUGUGUGCACUCUGCCUCGCACGCAGAUGCUCAGUAAGCAGAAGUUAAUGUAGUUAGACAAAAGGGCUCGAUUUAGGGGGGAAAUCAAUAAUGUCAGGGAGUUUAUUACAGGGUUAUGGGCCACCUGCUAGAACGCAGCACUAGGCCUGCACUGCGCUGGGAUGUGGUGCAGGCUGAUGGCAUUGCACUGAGACAAGGCUAGUUCCAGAAUUAUUAUUUUAUGCCUCGGCAGAUGGCUUCUGCUCAGGGGUUUUAUCUUUGAGGGCAGCCAUACGACUAAUCAUCAUUUGCUUUCUCUUUCUCUGCUAACGUAAGCUGGGCAGGAACAACUGCCAGUUUGAUGGUGGUUCAUUAUUGUGAGGUUUAUGCUGUCUGAAACAGCACACCAAGAGGCAAAGAGGGUACAAAGGAAGAUAAUCAGCUGGUUAUCAGUGAGAUAUGAGGACGAGCUGGGCUCAGAGGCUUGGCUUUCACUGCCCACCUCUUUCUCUCUUUCAGAGGCAAAGCCUUAGAUAUCCCAUAGAUAAUUUGGACAGGCCAUGGAGUUGGUAUCUUUGGUUAGUCAAGAUUGCGAAGGUCAAAUGUCGGGAAUGAGUUCACCCUGGCUUAGAGCAAAAGGCUCUAAGUCACCUCCCAAAGUCCCUUCCAGCCCUGUUCUCUGUCACCCUCAAUGAGGAGCCAGACCUGCUCCAUCAGUUCAGCUUUCAGUUAGGGAAACCUGAGAUGUCAUGCACCCUGGAAAGGCAAGAAACAGAAAUCCCAUCACAGUGGCACCAUCGCACAGCUAGCACUUCCAUCUCAGACUCUCUCAGAUGUCUACUUGCGUGGUGCACAAGCUGGACAUCACCAUCACCUGCUAAACGUGGGGAAGCCAGUGAUGUUUCUCCAGGAAGGUGAGUAAAUUUAGUUCCACAUGUAGGAGGCUAAUGAAUAUUAUUAAAACCAUUUCAGAUUCACUCAAACCUGCAAAUGACCCUAAUUUAACCUCCUUUAUUUACUUUUAGGAAUGUAAAGCUGGGGCAAAUCACUUGCUCAGUGAUUUCCCAGGCCCAGACGUGGCACCCAACCCCAGAGGUGUCAUUUCCCUGUCAAAAACCUAGCUUGGUAUAGAAAUGUCAUGUUGCUUUUGUUUGUGAUGUGAUUCAAUUGGUAUAAAUAGUAAGGUUUUAACCUGCUGUGCUAAUUUAAUUUAAACCCCUUCAGCUGUCAUCUUUCUUCCUUGAAAAUCCCACAUUUCUCCUGGUUUCUACUCUAAGCCCCCUGUGACUUCAGCGUGAAGGUACCAUCUCCCCAUCACUCCGAGCUGAUCCUGUUUGAAAGUCUAUGAACCUUGCAGUGGACGAGGGCUGAGCUGAGAGUUUGUAAGAUGUGAGACAUCAUCUACUCGGCAUUGCUUGGACCCAGAUGACAGCCAUCAGAAAGAAUGAGUAAAUCUCUUCUGAGCCACUGACACCAUCACUGGAAAUGCCCAAAGGAGGCUAAAUGAGGAGCUGGAGUAAACAGGGUGCUCCUCUCCUGGUGUUCCCUUGGCAGCAGAUCUGAGCACAAGCUAGAGAACGAAGAAUCCACCUGCAGCCUCCAUCGUAGCGGGUUCACUGAGAUACAGCACUUUCUUUUCCACGGCAGUUUGGAACACAGCCGGUCCUUGAUUGCCUGACGUGACGGUGGCCAGCAGAGCGAUUGUAGAGCCAAGCCACGAGCACGCAGCAGUGGAGGGGAUUCCCAGCAGCUUCCAACAGCGAUCGCCAGCCUUCGGCCAGCACUUGCCUCUGUGCACCCAGAUCCGCGCUAUCCCUGCAGCUUUCGGGAGGGAGAUGUAGGUACGUGUGUCCUACACAGGUACAGGCACUGUGAGAACUUGCAAAGUGCGGGCACAAACCCAGCUGCAAUACGGGAAAAGGGGGGGAGAAGCAGGGAAAGAAUGGCUUUGCUCUGCUGCCGCUCAGUGAGACCUGAACAGGCUGGAGAGCUGCGUGGAGGGGAACGUAACCAAGUUCAACAAAGGCAACCUCAGAGGAACAACCCCUGCACCAGUACAGGUGAGGGAUUGACCAGCUGGAAAGCAGCUCCAUGGAGAAGCGUGGGAGUCCUGGUGGACGCCAAGCUAAUCAUGAGCCAGCAAUGUCCUGUUCUGGCCAAGAAGGCCAAUGAUGUCCUGGGGCGCAUGGAGAAAAGGGUGGCCAGUAGGGCAAGGGAGAUUCUUCUCCCUCUCUGCUCUGGCCUAGGGAGGCUCCAUCUGGAAUCCUGUGUCCAGUUCUGGGCUCCCCAGCUCAGGAAAGACAAGGAAUGACUGGAGAGAGUCUAGCAGAGGCCACAGAGAUGGUGAAAGGACUGGAGCACCUCUCUUAGGAGCAAAAGCUGAGAGACCUGGGUCUGUUCAGCCUGAAGAAGAGAAGGCUGAGGGGAUCCCAUUAAUAUGUGAUGGGCAGGAGAGGGGUGCCAGAUUCUGCUCAGUGGUGCCCACGGACAUGACAACGGGCAUCAGGCACAAAUUGGAGCAUGGGAAGCUCCACCUGAACAUGAGGAAAAACAUCUUUGUAGGUGAUGUAGCCCUGGCACUGGCUGCCCAGGGAGGUGUGGAGUCUCCUUCUCUGGAGAGAUCCAACUCUGCCUGGACGUGCUCCUGUGCAACCGGCCAGAGGUGACCCUGCUUUAGCAGGGGGGUGGACUGGGUGAGCUCCAAAGGGUCCUGCCAGCCCCCAUCAUGCUGUGGUUUUGGUGUCAAUAAAUGGGGAGAGGGCCAACGAGUGAGAGGGGUCUGAGGCUCCGCAGAACAGAAAGGUCGUGGUGGCAGCGGGGAGUUUUGAGUCAGGGGAACUCACUAUUAAUCCUCUUCUACACAGUCUUUCUUGCGGGAGGAAAUCUUAUGACUCUGGGGAGAAGUACGUUGUGUAACCAAGCAAUGGUGAGCCCGAGCUGCAUUUAACGGGGCUUGGCACAGGCGCGACAGAGUAGGCUACUCAUCACAAGAGAGCGUGAGAGAGACCAUCUCAGUGCAUUGCCCGCUGGCUUCGAGUCCUUAAAAGCCCCGGCGUGGCCUUGGGAGAGGAGCUCAAAGAGAGGGGGGAAAGCAAAAAAAAAAAAUCUCCACAACUCUAAAGAAAUGAGGUCCCUUUGCGGGGCUCCCGCGUGGUCGUCGUUGAAACAUUGCAUAAUGUCCCUUUGCAGAGCUUUGGAAUCCGCAGGAUCAAAGCCAUAUGGAGACACUAUGGAUGUGCCCAGACAAAUUUAAAGGCAUUUUGCAAUUCUAGCAAGACGUGCAACGCCACACUUGGAGCUCCUCUGGCUGUUUCAGCGUGACAUCUAGUGGCACAGCGCAGCUUUCCCGAGGAACAAGCCUUGUCCUGCUGUUUGUAGGACUGCUCCUGCGCUCCUUUUCCCCAUCGUCUGGGACAGGCUGUGUACAGCUUUGGAAACGUCCCAUCCCUGAAGGUGUUCCAGGCCAGGUUGGAUGGGGCUUGGAGCCCCUGAUCCAGUGGGAGGUGUCCCUGCCCAUGGCAAGAGUGGGGACUGGGUGGGCUUUGAGGUCCCUUCUGACCCAAACCAUUUUAUGAUUCUAUGAUUUUGCCAGUUUAUCGUGUAGGAUUUUUACAGAAUUAGUAAAUAGGGGUUUAAAGUAUUUAAAGUAUCUGCUUCCUAGAGCUUAUCAUCACAUUUGUGUGCCUUGUCUUUGUUUUACAAUUCCAUUCCAUGGAUGCUGAAAAUAGAUAAAAGGGGUCAUGGGUUAAAAACUGUGAUCAUUUAAGACAGAGGUGGGUUAAAGCAAAAAGCUUCAGGUGACAGCAGCUGAAGGUUCGACUUCAAGGUCUCCUAGGUCUGAAUUUACAGUUGUCGCGAAUUGUGAUUAGAAGAAGUAAAGGUAAAUCUUGUUUUGACUGUUGUGAGGUUCAUACUAACAUUAAAAUUAGUUCUCGAAGAGCUACAGAAUAUGCUUAAAUUUAUCAGAACAUUUGACUGCUGUUAAGUUCAUCAUAACAUUGAAACCAGUCCUUGGAAAUUAACAAACUGUUGUUAACUUGGGGGGAAAUUCAUACACAUGUGCGUGAGUGGGAAUGCAUUCUGUCUGGCCACACAUCAUCGAUGGAGAUCACUCCUUCGUGCUGCCCAGGCUCGAUUAAAGGCUGAUCGCUUCCCAAGGCUGCCGAAUGAGUCUUAGGGAGUUUAUUUUUUGUUAUUUUUGGUAUCAGCAUGAUCCAUACUGAAGGGAUGUCUUUUCUAUAAUCACCUCUUUGC